rnacentral:misc_RNA from 1 species
UCCGAGUUGACCCCGGCAGUCUCCCAUGAGUCCCCACCAUCACGUGCUGGCAACAUGGAACGAGGGUUGCGCUCGUUGCGGGACUUAACCCAACAUCUCACGACACGAGCUGACGACAACCAUGCACCACCUGUGCACGGCCCUUACGGACCCCGCAUCUCUGGAGGAUUUCCCUGUAUGUCAAGCCUUGGUAAGGUUCUUCGCGUUGCGUCGAAUUAAGCCGCAUGCUCCGCCGCUUGUGCGGGCCCCCGUCAAUUCCUUUGAGUUUUAGCCUUGCGGCCGUACUCCCCAGGCGGGGCACUUAGUGCGUUAGCGACGGCACGGGAGGAGUCGACACCUCCCACACCUAGUGCCCAUCGUUUACGGCGUGGACUAC